AACGAACGCUGGCGGCGCGCUUAACACAUGCAAGUCGAACGAGAAGGCGUAGCAAUACGCUUGUACAGUGGCGAACGGGUGAGUAAUACGUGGGCGACCUACCCUCGAGUGGGGAAUAACCCGCCGAAAGGCGGGCUAAUGCCGCGUACGCUUCCAUCUUUAUGGAGGUGGAAGGAAAGCCGUGCCGUGGGCACGGCGCUCAAGGAUGGGCUCACGUCCUAUCAGCUUGUUGGAGGGUAACGGCCUACCAAGGCUCCGACGGGUAGCUGGUCUGAGAGGACGAUCAGCCACACUGGCACUGCGACACGGGCCAGACUCCUACGGGAGGCAGCAGUGAGGAAUAUUGCGCAAUGGGCGAAAGCCUGACGCAGCGACGCCGCGUGGGGGAUGAAGGUCUUCGGAUUGUAAACCCCUUUCGGGAGGGAAGAUGGGACGGGCAACCGUCC
rnacentral:rRNA from 1 species